UACGGGGGGGGCAAGCGUUGUUCGGAAUUACUGGGCGUAAAGGGCGCGUAGGCGGGCUGUCAAGUCUGGGGUGAAAUCCCGCGGCUCAACCGUGGAACUGCCUCAGAUACUGACGGUCUCGAGGGGGGUAGGGGCGAGCGGAACUGUGAGUGGAGCGGUGAAAUGCGUUGAUAUUCACAGGAACUCCGGUGGCGAAGGCGGCUCGCUGGACCUCUUCUGACGCUGAGGCGCGAAAGCCAGGGGAGCAAACGGG
rnacentral:rRNA from 1 species